rnacentral:rRNA from 1 species
AACGAACGCUGGCGGCAUGCCUAACACAUGCAAGUCGAACGAGAAAGAAGGGUCUAGUGGCGCACGGGUGCGUAACGCGUGGGAAUCUGCCCUCUGGUACGUAAUAACUCAGGGAAACUUGAGCUAAUACCGUAUAAUGACUUCGGUCCGAAGAUUUAUCGCCUGAGGAUGAGCCCGCGUCGGCUUAGCUAGUUGGUGAGGUAAAGGCUCACCAAGGCGACGAUCCGUAGCUGGUCUGAGAGGAUGAUCAGCCACACUGGGACUGAGACACGGCCCAGACUCCUACGGGAGGCAGCAGUGGGGAAUAUUGGACAAUGGGCGAAAGCCUGAUCCAGCAAUGCCGCGUGAGUGAUGAAGGCCUUAGGGUUGUAAAGCUCUUUUACCCGGGAUGAUAAUGACAGUACCGGGAGAAUAAGCCCCGGCUAACUCCGUGCCAGCAGCCGCCGCCG